UACGGAGGGUGCUAGCGUUGUUCGGAAUCACUGGGCGUAAAGCGCGUGUAGGCGGCCCAUCAAGUCUGAUGUGAAAGCCCGGGGCUCACCCCCGGAAGUGCAUUGGAAACUGUUGGGCUCGAGUCCCGGAGAGGAGGGUGGAAUUCCUGGUGUAGCGGUGAAAUGCGUAGAUAUCAGGAGGAACACCGGUGGCGAAGGCGGCCCUCUGGACGGUGACUGACGCUGAGACGCGAAAGCUAGGGGAGCAAACGGG
rnacentral:rRNA from 1 species